rnacentral:misc_RNA from 1 species
AAUUUCUUGGCCCUAAUAAAUGCUGCAGAGGAUUUGAUUUAUUCUUCUUAACUUGCAGUCUAAAAAUGUAGUUUUUCAAGUAUAUGGAGUGAGUUCUGAUGUGGAAUUUGUACAGUUACAGGUCUUUUAGCUGGAAAAGUGAGAAAUGUCCCCCCUUGAGCUGCGAAUUUUUUCAGUUUAAUUGUUGCCAUUUUCCAGAACAACAGGAAAAUGAAAAAAAAAAAAGUUUAUAAAUAUCUGAUGUCAGGCUUUUUUUUUAAGGUCAGAAUUUUUUUAAAGUUUAUUCAUUGCCUGCCGACGCAAAUAUGAAAUUACAGGGAGCUAACUUUAGUUUCAUCGAAUAUCCUAAUCCUUCUGAAAUUCUCUAACUUCGGGGGAGAUUUUGAAAUGACAUUUGAAGUUAUAUGUUAUGACAUCUGAUAACUAUGAAAAAUUGACAAAAAAUGGCAAAAUGUCGAUUGACAACACGUAGAGUAUUUUGGGUAGCCGAUCCGACUUGGGACAGAUUUGGAUUAAAAAAAAAAAACAAAAAUCUGAAUAGAGUUUGUGAUGGGUUGGGACGUUGAAAAAACAUUUCGGGUUGGGUUUUGUGAUUUUCGUGGGUUUGCUUAUUUUCAACCCCAUAUUCUUCAAUUGUGUCCAUUUCUUGUAUGUAAAUUCGUUGUUAAUUCAUGCACUCAUGAAGUCAUAUUUGAAUUGUGUUAUUCAUGUACUUUCUUAGAACUUCCCAAAGCCUAUGGUAUCGCCCAUAUUUUCUUUCUAACACCAAUUUUUUUUUCUUUCCCAAAGUAAAAUAAAUAAAUAAAU